GAUGAACGCUGGCGGCGUGCCUAAUACAUGCAAGUCGAACGCGCAGCGAGAGGUGCUUGCACCUUUCAAGCGAGUGGCGAACGGGUGAGUAACACGUGGAUAACCUGCCUCAAGGCUGGGGAUAACAUUUGGAGACAGAUGCUAAUACCGAAUAAAACUUAGUAUCGCAUGAUAUCAAGUUAAAAGGCGCUACGGCGUCACCUAGAGAUGGAUCCGCGGUGCAUUAGUUAGUUGGUGGGUAAAGGCUUACUAAGACGAUGAUGCAUAGCCGAGUUGAGAGACUGAUCGGCCACAUUGGGACUGAGACACGGCCCAAACUCCUACGGAGCUGCAGUAGGGAAUCUUCCACAAUGGCGCAAGCCUGAUGGAGCAACGCCGCGUGUGUGAUGAAGGCUUUCGGGUCGUAAAGCACUGUUGUAUGGGAAGAAAUGCUAAAAUAGGGAAUGAUUUAGUUUGACGGUACCAUACCAGAAA
rnacentral:rRNA from 1 species